GAUGAACGCUGGCGGCGUGCCUAACACAUGCAAGUCGAACGGAGAUUACGGACGGAAGUUUUCGGAUGGAAGCCUGUAAUUCUUAGUGGCGGACGGGUGAGUAACGCGUGGGCAACCUGCCCUAUACAGGGGGAUAGCAGCUGGAAACGGCUGGUAAGACCGCAUAAGUCGGUUAAAUCGCAUGAUUUGAUCGGGUAAUGCGCAAUCAGGUAUAGGAUGGGCCCGCGUCCGAUUAGCCAGUUGGCAGGGUAAAAGCCUACCAAAGCGACGAUCGGUAGCCGGACUGAGAGGUCGGACGGCCACAUUGGGACUGAGACACGGCCCAAACUCCUACGGGAGGCAGCAGUGGGGGAUAUUACACAAUGGAGGAAACUCUGAUGCAGCGACGACGCGUGAGUGAAGAAGUAUUGCGGUAUGUAAAGCUCUAUCAGCAGGGAAGAUGAUGACGGUACCUGACGAAGAAGCCCCGGCUAACUACGUG
rnacentral:rRNA from 1 species